AUCUGCCUUUAAGCACUUGGAAGGGCUUGGGUAGCCUGCUGGGAAGGAAGGACCCCAAAGUACCUCAAAGGUGCGGAGAAAUGUUCAUCGGUCCAGUCCACAGAAAUGCUUGUUUGGCUCCCCAACGAUUGGAGAUCGUCAAUCCCGUCUGGGUGCCCACUAGGAGACUUAAACUUCGUGUGAAUACUGACAAUAAAAACCACGAGGAAGAGACGUUCGCGUCAGAGACUGCCCUCAUACCUGAUGAGAUCUGUACCGACUCCUCAGAAACUGGCAUGCCAAAUCAAAAUGGGUCUGGUUCAAUCCUCCCUAAUGGCAAUGUAAACCCCUCUAACUAAUCCCACUUCUCCUAAUUAUCUUUUUCUCCUUACGAACCUAAAAAUCUCACCAUUUCUAUUAGCCUGAAAAUAACAUCCCUCUGUUCUUCUCUUCCUCCUUCAGCACUGGAUCUCACUUACAAUAGGUUUUAUUUAAUAAUUAUCUUCCUUACACUUUCUGUCUCACCAGUUUCCCCUUAAACUGAUUUACCUGCUACACAAAA
rnacentral:lncRNA from 1 species